GGUAACGGCCCACCAAGGCGACGACGGGUAGCCGGCCUGAGAGGGUGACCGGCCACACUAGGACUGAGACACGGCCCAGACUCCUACGGGAGGCAGCAGUGGGGAAUAUUGCACAAUGGGCGAAAGCCUGAUCCAGCAAUGCCGCGUGAGGGACGACGGCCUUCGGGUUGUAAACCUCUUUUAGUAGGGAAGAAGCGAAAGUGACGGUACCUGCAGAAAAAGCACCGGCUAACUACGUGCCAGCAGCCGCGGUAAUACGUAGGGUGCAAGCGUUAUCCGGAAUUAUUGGGCGUAAAGAGCUCGUAGGCGGUUUGUCGCGUCUGCUGUGAAAACUGGAGGCUCAACCUCCAGCCUGCAGUGGGUACGGGCAAACUAGAGUGCGGUAGGGGAGAUUGGAAUUCCUGGUGUAGCGGUGGAAUGCGCAGAUAUCAGGAGGAACACCGAUGGCGAAGGCAGAUCUCUGGGCCGUAACUGACGCUGAGGAGCGAAAGCAUGGGGAGCGAACAGGAUUAGAUACCCUGGUAGUCCAUGCCGUAAACGUUGGGAACUAGAUGUGGGGGCCAUUCCACGGCUUCCGUGUCGCAGCUAACGCAUUAAGUUCCCCGCCUGGGGAGUACGGCCGCAAGGCUAAAACUCAAAGGAAUUGACGGGGGCCCGCACAAGCGGCGGAGCAUGCGGAUUAAUUCGAUGCAACGCGAAGAACCUUACCAAGGCUUGACAUAUACGAGAACGCUGCAGAAAUGUAGAACUCUUUGGACACUCGUAUACAGGUGGUGCAUGGUUGUCGUCAGCUCGUGUCGUGAGAUGUUGGGUUAAGUCCCGCAACGAGCGCAACCCUCGUUCUAUGUUGCCAGCACGUAAUGGUGGGAACUCAUAGGAGACUGCCGGGGUCAACUCGGAGGAAGGUGGGGAUGACGUCAAAUCAUCAUGCCCCUUAUGUCUUGGGCUUCACGCAUGCUACAAUGGCCGGUACAAAGGGCUGCAAUACCGUAAGGUGGAGCGAAUCCCAAAAAGCCGGUCUCAGUUCGGAUUGAGGUCUGCAACUCGACCUCAUGAAGUCGGAGUCGCUAGUAAUCGUGGAUCAGCAACGCCACGGUGAAUACGUUCCCGGGCCUUGUACACACCGCCCGUCAAGUCAUGAAAGUCGGUAACACCCGAAGCCAGUGGCCCAACCGCAAGGAGGGAGCUGUCGAAGGUGGGAUCGGUGAUUAGGACUAAGUCGUAACAAGGUAGCCGUACCGGAAGGUGCGGCUG
rnacentral:rRNA from 1 species